rnacentral:other from 1 species
UUUUUUUACGAGGUAUCAGCACUUUUCUUUCAUUAGUGGGCAAGGAAGGAUGAAAACUACAAAACAGCAGUAGACUUUUAAAGUUUAAAUAGACAGGUCUGAAAGCCUGAACUUGCUUUUCCAUUUUAGCUCACUCUUCCAAAGAGGCACUUGUUUGCUUGCUUCUCUGAUCAUCAGCAGGGGUAAGUUGGAAAGUUUUU